AUUUGUUAAUUUUCGCCCUAAACGUAGCAGAACAGGGUGGGCCCAAUGCGAAUCCAUGACUGACGCUUGUCAUCUUACAACACGCCGCAUGCACGUAUUGAGGGCAUUCAAGUAAUUUCAUCCCAUUCCAAGGAUAACGUUCUCUUCUGAUAUUUUCUUUUGCUCUCUCUUCUUCCUUCUUUUAGCGCCUAUAAAUAAGAGGCCUUCGACCACCAUUUCUCUUCACAAAUCCAGUCGAUCAUAUUCAGAUACCCAAUUUCCCAUCCAUUUUUCUAGCGCGAGAAAAAGAGAGAGAAAAUGGCAGGAAUCGUGCACAAGAUCGGAGAGACCCUCCACAUGGGAGGCCAAAAGGAAGGCGAGAAGCAACACAAGGAAGGUGAGCACCAUGGCGAUAUGCACAAAUCCGAACACUACGAUGGAGAAAAGUACAAAUCUGAAGGAGAGAAGCACAAAUCGGAGCACCAUGGAGGUGAGCACAAGGAAGGAGGGUUGAUGAGCAAGAUCCAUGGUGGUGGUGAGAAAGGUGAGAAGAAGAAGAAGGAGAAGAAGAAGCACGAGCACGGACAGGAGCACCAUGGUAAAGACAGCAGCGACAGUGAUAGCGAUUAGAUCGCUCGCUCUAUCCUUCUUCCAGUACACUUCUUUCAAGGUGGGUUUGACUCUGAGGAGAGCUACAAAUAAAAGGCAAAUAGAGAUUGGUGUAGUGGGAGGGGGAGAAAUAAAAUCCUGCUUUCAAUAUCUAAUAGUGUUAUGAGAUGUUAUCAGUGUGGGUGUGAAUGUAAUGUCUACAUAUGAUGAUAUGUGAUAUAUAUAAAUUAAGAAAAAUAUUAAUGAAAUGUUUCUCUUCUGUUUAUGGUGA